rnacentral:rRNA from 1 species
ACGAACGCUGGCGGCAUGCCUAACACAUGCAAGUCGAACGAGACCUUCGGGUCUAGUGGCGCACGGGUGCGUCACGCGUGGGAACCUGCCCUUAGGUUCGGAAUAACUCCCCGAAAGGGGUGCUAAUACCGGAUAAUGUCUUCGGACCAAAGAUUUAUCGCCUUUGGAUGGGCCCGCGUUGGAUUAGCUAGUUGGUAGGGUAAAAGCCUACCAAGGCGACGAUCCAUAGCUGGUCUGAGAGGAUGAUCAGCCACACUGGGACUGAGACACGGCCCAGACUCCUACGGGAAGCAGCAGUGGGGAAUAUUGGACAAUGGGCGAAAGCCUGAUCCAGCAAUGCCGCGUGAGUGAUGAAGGCCUUAGGGUUGUAAAGCUCUUUUACCCGGGAUGAUAAUGACAGUACCGGGAGAAUAAGCUCCGGCUAACUCCGUG